GCAUUGCUUAAGUGAUGAAGGUUUAAUAGACGUAAGCCAAGACUCAAGUCCCCAGUGGCUAAUCAAGUCUCAAGAAAUGGAAACUGAUGAUCCUAAGAUUUAUAAUGAAAAGAUCGGAUAUCACGAGAAGUUACAGAGUUUAAAUACUAUCAUGGCUGUCUAGAUGAUUGUAGAGUUCGUCAUGUAUACAUCGAUCUCCAGAUUGUUAUACCUGGUCUCCUCCAACAGGGCUUCAAAUUGGCAUGAAUUUUCCAGAAGAGUACUUGUGGUUGCAAAAAUUCAUUGGCAUUAAGACAGCAAAGUACUUUGGAUAACGCAAAUCCAAAGCAAUUGUGGAUUUCAGGUCUUUUACUUCUUUUGCUGGUUUAUGUCAUGGAGCAAGCCUUUCUUCACUCUGGAUUCCUAUUUAUCUGGUAGAUUUGGCUGCAAAGACAGCACCUGUCCAGCCAACUUGUGCCGAGAGCUCUGCAGAGGAAAACCUGGUUCUAGCAGUAGGGAGUGCACUC